rnacentral:lncRNA from 1 species
GCGAGGGAGGAGGCCGAGGCGGCGGAGCAGAUGAAGCUCGAGCGCAGGUGGACGGAGGAGGAGGAGGCGGAGCGUCGGGAGCGGGAGGAGGAGGAGCGAGCCCGUCAGCCUGCGCCGCCGGUGCUGCCGGGCAAGGACGCUGCUCAGGCGUGGGAGGCAGCGUUCCCUUGGGCUGGGCCGGCCCCGGAGCUCAUCGACCUCACCUCCCCUGACGACGAUGACGAAGGCGAUGCGUAGGGCGGC